rnacentral:rRNA from 1 species
AUUGAACGCUGACGGCAGGCCUAACACAUGCACGUCGAGCGGAGCGGCGGACGGGUGAGUAAUGCCUAGGAAUCUGCCUGGUAGUGGGGGAUAACGUCAGGAAACGGGAGCUAAUGCCACCUACUAUCAGAUGAGACUAGGUCGGAUUAGCGAGUUGGUGGGGUAAAGGCCUACCAAGGCGACGAUCCGGAACUGGUCUGAGAGGAUGAUCAGUAACACUGGAAAUGAGACACGGUCCAGACUCCUCAGGGAGGCAGCAGUGGGGAAUAUUGGACAAUGGGCGAAAGCCUGAUCCAGCCAUGCCGCGUGUGUGAAGAAGGUCUUCGGAUUGUAAAGCACUUUAAGUUGGGAGGCGUUACCAACAGAAUAAGCACCGGCUAACUUCGGGCCAGCAGCCGCGGUAAUUC